UACGGAGGGAGCAAGCGUUAAUCGGAAUUACUGGGCGUAAAGCGUGCGCAGGCGGUGAUGUAAGACAGAUGUGAAAUCCCCGGGCUCAACCUGGGAACUGCAUUUGUGACUGCACAGCUUGAGUGCGGCAGAGGGGGAUGGAAUUCCGCGUGUAGCAGUGAAAUGCGUAGAUAUGCGGAGGAACACCGAUGGCGAAGGCAAUCCCCUGGGCCUGCACUGACGCUCAUGCACGAAAGCGUGG
rnacentral:rRNA from 1 species